CUACGGGCUGCUCCAGUGGGGAAUAUUGCGCAAUGGGCGAAAGCCUGACGCAGCAACGCCGUGUGAGGGAUGAAGGCUUUCGGGUCGUAAACCUCUGUCAGAAGGGAAGAACGGGUAUUGGUCUAAUAGGCCUUUAUUUUGACGGUACCUUCAGAGGAAGCACCGGCUAACUCCGUGCCAGCAGCCGCGGUAAUACGGAGGGUGCAAGCGUUAUUCGGAAUUACUGGGCGUAAAGCGCACGUAGGCCGCUUUGUAAGUCAGGGGUGAAAUCCCACGGCUCAACCGUGGAACUGCCUUUGAAACUGCAGAGCUUGAAUCCUGGAGAGGGUGGCGGAAUUCCUGGUGUAGGAGUGAAAUCCGUAGAUAUCAGGAGGAACACCGGUGGCGAAGGCGGCCACCUGGACAGGUAUUGACGCUGAGGUGCGAAAGUGUGGGGAGCAAACAGGAUUAGAUACCCGCGUAGUC
rnacentral:rRNA from 1 species